CCAGCAGCCGCGGUAAUUCCAGCUCCAAUAGCGUAUAUUAAAGUUGUUGCAGUUAAAAAGCUCGUAGUUGGACCUUAGGCAAGGCGGCCUGGUCACCCUCUGGGUGCACUGGGAUCGCUGCGCCUCACCUUCGGGGAGCUAGUCGUGCUUCGGUGCGCUAGGGAACCGAGCCUUACCUUGAGGAAAUUAGAGUGUUUAAAGCAGGCUUAUGCUUGAAUACGUUUGCAUGGAAUAACAUGAUAGGACUUUGGUUCUAUUUUGUUGGUUUGAGGACCAAAGUAAUGAUUAAUAGGGACAGUUGGGGGCAUUAGUAUUCAAUAGUCAGAGGUGAAAUUCUUGGAUUUAUUGAAGACUAACUAAUGCGAAAGCAU
rnacentral:rRNA from 1 species